UACGGAGGGUGCAAACGUUGCUCGGAAUCAUUGGGCGUAAAGCGCACGUAGGCGGCUCGUUAAGUCGGAUGUGAAAGCCCUCGGCUCAACCGAGGAAGUGCAUACGAAACUGGCGAGCUUGAAUAUGGAAGAGGGUCGCGGAAUUCCCGGUGUAGAGGUGAAAUUCGUAGAUAUCGGGAGGAACACCAGUGGCGAAGGCGGCGACCCUGGGCCA
rnacentral:rRNA from 1 species